AUGAGAGCUCCGGCUGUCAAUCAAUCCAGGCUGUCAAUCAAACAUGGCAGUCAAUCAAACAAGCUGUCAAUCAGCAGGGCUGUCAAUCAAACAAAGCUGUCAAUCAAACGGGGCAGUCAACACAAUGGGACUGUCAAUCAACCCAGGCCGUCAAUCAAUCAAAGCUGUCAAUCAAAACGGGCUGUCAAUCGAAUUGCCAUGUCAUCCAAUCCGGGCUGUCAAUCAAACAGGGCUGUCAAUCAAACCAAUCUGUCAACCAAUCAUGGCUGUCAAUCAAACGGGGCUGUCAAUCAAUCUGGGCUGUCAAUCAUACAGAGCUGUCAAUAUAACGGGGCUGUCAAUCGAUCUGAGCUGUCAAUCAUAGAGAAUUGUCAAUCCAGGCUGUCAAUCAAUCCAGACUGCCAAUCAAACAACGGUGUCAAUCAAACAGGGCUGUCAAUCAAACAGAACACGCCGGCAGGGCUGUCAAUCAAUCCAGGCUGGCAAUCAUCCCAGGCUGUCAAUCAAACGGGGCUGUCAAUCAUACUGAACUCCCUGUCAGGUCUGUCAAUCACACAAAGCUGUCAAUCAAUCCAGGCUGUCAAUCAAACGGGGCUGUCAAUCAAUCCAGACUGUCAAUCAAAUGGGGCUGUCGUUCACACAGAGCUGUCAAUCAAGGGUGGCUGACAAUCACACGUAUCAAUCAGACAAGGCUGUCAAUCAAAUGGUUCAGUCGAUCCGAUCGCUUUGUCAAUCAGGUGGAGCUGUCAAUCAAACAGGGCUGUCCAUGAAACCGAUCUGUCAAUCAGAUCCUUUUGUCAAUCUGACGGAGCUGUCAAUCAAAAGGGGCUGUCAAUCACACGGGUCUGGUUAUGGAGCUGUCAGUCAGACAGAGCUGUCAAUCAGACGGGGGCGAUCAAUGAGUGAAGCUGUCAAUCAAAACGACAUCAGCAGCCCGGCUGUCAAUCAAGGAGCGCUGUCAAUCAACUGUGAUCUCACAGCUGUCAAUCAACCAGUCAAAACGAGCUGUCAAUCAAUCGGUGACAGCUGUCAAUCAGACGAGGCUGUCAAUCAGACGCAGCUGUCCGUCAUCCAACCCCGCUGAUGCCUGUCGUUGCCGUCAAUCGCAGCUGUCAAUCAAUCGCAGCUGUCAAUCAGUCAGAGCUGUCAAUCAGUCAGAGCUGUCUAUCAGUCAGAGCUGUCAAUCACAGCUGUCAAUCACAGCUCAAUCGAAAUGGGGGUCGACUGUCGCGAGGUGUCAAUCAAAGCUCUGUGAGUUGCGUGGCUGUCAAUCACGCCGAGCUGUCAAUCACGCUGAGCUGUCAAUCACACGGAGCUGUCAAUCAAACGACACCCAAUCCCAGCCGUCAAUGGGAGCCGUCCGUCAGGCCGAGCUGUCAAUCAAACCCAGCAGCCAAUCAAACGCAGCUGUCAAUCAACGACCCGACACC
rnacentral:lncRNA from 1 species